AGUGGACAAAAUGCAGGUUACUUUGAUAAAUCUGGAAAAAUUUGAAGAUUUUGAAGAUCAUCUAUUGUUAAUAGAGCAAAAUGGAUACAAUUAUCUAAGUUAAUAAUAAAGAACAAUGUCUAACAAAAGAAGAAUUUCAGAAAGAAUAACAGAUCAAGACUAACAAAUAUCUACAUUAGGAAUGUGAGCAAUUUUGUGCCAGUCCUCUCCUAUCCCCUUCUCACACCGCUUUGUCAAUGUUCGGGGAGACUCUCUAGUGAGUAACAAUAAUGAAUUUUCAGACACUUCAAAGAAUUGAGGCUAGCUAGGCUGCUUGGCAACUCUCUGAGUUUUUUGAAGUAUAUAAUGCUCAAGGACUCAUGUAUAAGUUGGUGAGUGAAGUUAACCCUUCCAUCCCUUGUAUGGGGAGACUCUCUAGUACGUAACAAUAAUGAAUUUUCAGACACUUCAAAGCAUUGUUUCAGGCCUCAAUUGCAUAAAUGUGUGUCAUAUUUCUUUAAUUAAAAACUAGGAGUCAUUUGUUCAAGUGGACAAAAUGCAGGUUACUUUGAUAAAUCUGGAAAAAUUUGAAGAUCGUCUAUUGUUAAAUAGAGCAAAAUGGAUACAAUUAUCUAAGUUAAUAAUAAAGAACAAUGUCUAACAAAAGAAGAAUUUCAGAAAGAAUAACAGAUCAAGACUAACAAAUAUCUACAUUAGGAAUGUGAGCAAUUUUGUGCCAGUCCUCUC
rnacentral:lncRNA from 1 species